UUUUUGUGUGCGGUUUGUGUGGUACGUGAAAAAUUUUUCCGUUUCGUGUUGGUGGAUAGCGGAAAAAAGAAAAUCUGUUAAAUUAGUGAAUUAGUAGAAAAUGGAAUAAAUAAAACAAUUUUUUUAAGUGAAAAGUGCAACAUUUUUGCGUAAGUUUAAUUUAAAAAGUUAUAUACUCGUCCAUAUAAAAUGAAGAUAAAGUAUAAAGUAGUAUGAAGUGUGGAAAAAAAGGAAAAAAAGUUGGGGGCAAAAAUGUUUGUAGCUACCAAUGCAGUGUGAAAGCGACGAAAACGCAGCAUAAAGUGAAAAACCGAAAAGAUAAAUAAUAAAGAAAUUGAGAAAAAAUGUUUGUGUGGUCUCGCCCCUUUUUUGAUGCUGUGAUUUACAAAAAGAUACGUGUUCAACUAAAUUUCAUGUGAAGAAAAAAGCAAGAAACAAGAGUUUUUCAUGAAAUAUUUCAUUCCUAGUUAAUUUAAGUAAGCUAAGUUGCAUACUCGUUCACAUAUAAGUUCCAACUCUCCAUGUAUGAAACGGAAAAAAAGCCACCGCCUGCUAAAUUGUAAUUUUUGCAGACAACAUCCACCGUUGCAGCGGCAAUAACUUUGUUUCUUUAACUACAUUCAUACUUUGUGUGCAUGUGUCGUUGUCCUUUGCCUGGUUUCCUUUUAAUACUUCCCACUGUUAAUGCUUUACUGGCCUCACAGCUACACUUGUAUAUCCAUGCAUAUAUUUAUGUAUUCAUAUGGAAUUGUGUUUUGCAAGUUUGUACUUAAGCGUCGGUAUUAAUAACUAUUGCAUCGCUAAAGCAAAAGUUUUCAUUCAAUGUUAUGGAUUAAAAAAUUAAUUUACUUAAAAGUUUAAUUUAUUGAAAUAUCCUGUCACAGUAAUAUUGAACGUCUUGGUCUUAAUUGUGCCAAUUAUAGUUUAUAUUUUAGGCGAAUCUAAUUCUGAUUUUCUUUGGUCUGUGUAUCCUAUUAAAAAACGGAUGAUUACUGCAAACUCUCAGAAGCAUUCUAUGUGAUUUCUUGUUCCAACGCAUAACAUAAUAUGAAUUUCUGGACCUACAUAAAUAAAUAUAAGUUUAAAAUUUUAUGACAUUUUUAAACAAGUUUUUUUUUUAAUGUUUGAACUUAUUUUUGUUUACUCGAAAAAAUGUUUAAACCAAAGUGUAAUUUUAAUAGUUAAAUCUUUUAAUUCCAUAGGUUUCAAAAUGUACUCUAAAUGGUUGAACAAAUUUAAUUGAUACUGAUAAAUUUUUUUAUAUACACACGUUUCUGUAAGCGAGGACAAUUCAGUACCGUGAAUUUUAGAUUUAUCAACAAACUGUCAACAAAAAGAUUUUCAAUAUCACCAGCGUCAACACAAAAUAUAGCAAAAUUACAAAGAAUUCGAACCAAACCUUAGGGUCAAGGGGCAACGCCGCAUAUAAGCAAUGAGUAUACCAUCAAAGGAAACCAAACAAUACAUAAACAAAAGAACAGCGAAGAAGAACAACAACACAUGACUGCAACAAAAUCGAAAUUUCCAACAACGACGACGACGAGGACGAGAACGCGAAUGCGAACGAGUACGACGACAUAAAGGUCACCGAAGCCGUCAAAAACAACAAAUCAA